rnacentral:rRNA from 1 species
UGGGGAAUAUUGGACAAUGGAGGUAACUCUGAUCCAGCAAUUCUGUGUGCACGAAGAAGGUUUUCGGAUUGUAAAGUGCUUUAAGUUGGGAAGAAAAAAAUGACGGUACCAACAGAAUAAGCGACGGCUAAAUACGUGCCAGCAGCCGCGGUAAUACGUAUGUCGCAAGCGUUAUCCGGAAUUAUUGGGCAUAAAGGGCAUCUAGGCGGGGCUCCAAGUCGACGGUGAAAACUAGUGGCUCAACCAUUAGCUUGCCGACGAAACUGGAGUUCUAGAGUAUCGGAAAGGUGGGCGGAACUACAUGAGUAGAGGUGAAAUUCGUAGAUAUAUGUAGGAAUGCCGAUGACGAAGGUAGCUCACUGGACGAAAACUGACGCUGAAGUGCGAAAGCUAGGGGAGCAAACA